rnacentral:tRNA from 1 species
AUCUAGCUGGCUCAGUCAGUAGAGCAUGCAACUCUUAAUCUCAGGGUUGUGAGUUUUAGCCUCAUGUUGGGUG